CAUUGUUUUUCUUCAUGCCUGGCAUAUAGCAGGUCCUCAAUAAGUAUUUGUUGAAAGAGUCAGUGAACCAACAAGUCUUAUUUUAACACCUGUUAUGUGGAGGAUAAAGAACUACGGCUCAGA
rnacentral:precursor_RNA from 15 species